CAGGGGGGGCAAACCGCCAGCAGGGAAUCCACCCACCCGCCCGCCCGCGCUGGGCAGCUGUCACCCAUGGGGAGCUGCCUACCCCAGCCACCCAACGCAGUUGUUGUCUCAUCGUGGCCUGAGAGCAGCCCCCACCCCCCACUGUAACUGUGACAAGACCUCCAAUGAGUGCAAGGUAUCAGCCAGAGCCCCGGCAGCUCCCAUACAGGGCUGUGUGGUGAGCUGCCUGGGCUCGGUCUACACCCAGCUCAGACACCCCCAGGCAGGCAGGCUGACAGGCGCAAAGUGCACCUGAAGGACAAGGCACCAUUCGUGCUGUUGCAUUGACAAAUCGGCAGGCACCUGAUGACAUGGAAUAGUGCUAGAAAGCAACAGGGUUUGGGAGGAAGCAUUACUGCUGUAAAAUCUGUGGAGUCAAUGAUCCACCCUCUACAGUCUUUUGUGACUUCUCCACAGACUAUGUGGGCAAUGGUCAUAGAUCACUAUCAACAGAACUACAUGCAGCUAUCAAGGGACACAGGCUUGCAACAACUUGUAUAGCAUAGUAAGACGUAUGUUCAGAAGUCUAAUUUGACUGUCAAUAUGGUCAAUCUUCUCCUCAAGACUGCUGCUGCUGUUUCUCCUCCAGUAAAAUCCAACGGGCCCAGUCAUGAAGUAGACUGCUACAACAAAGCACAGAGGCAAGACUGCAUGCUCUGGUUCUCCUUCAUACUUCUGGAGGAUGUAUACACAUGAGAGGGCAAACAGAGCAACUCUUACAAUCCAGAAGAAGCGACCGAACAGCAUAUGUAAGAGACAGAAGAAGAAUCCAAGGAAGACGGACAAAAACCAAUAAGCAAGUAAAACAGCACCAAUCAGCAGAAGAACACGGGUAGGGUUGUUGGCAACUGCUGCAGGGCUGAAAUAAUGAGUCAGGUUGGAAGCUGAAAAAUAAAAACAAAUUUAUGAGAAAUUAAAA